GACGAACGCUGGCGGCGUGCUUAACACAUGCAAGUCGAACGGAAAGGCCCCUUUGGGGGUACUCGAGUGGCGAACGGGUGAGUAACACGUGAGUAACCUGCCCUUGACUUCGGGAUAACUUCAGGAAACUGGGGCUAAUACCGGAUAGGAAUCCUUGCUGCAUGGUGGGGGUUGGAAAGCUUCGGCGGUUUUGGAUGGACUCGCGGCUUAUCAGCUUGUUGGUGGGGUAGUGGCUUACCAAGGCUUUGACGGGUAGCCGGCCUGAGAGGGCGACCGGCCACAUUGGGACUGAGAUACGGCCCAGACUCCUACGGGGGGCAGCAGUGGGGAAUAUUGCACAAUGGGCGGAAGCCUGAUGCAGCAACGCCGCGUGCGGGAUGACGGCCUUCGGGUUGUAAACCGCUUUCAGCAGGGGCGAAGCUUUUGUGACGGUACCUGCAGAAGAAGCACCGGCUAACUACGUG
rnacentral:rRNA from 1 species